UGCUCCCCCAAGGACAUGGUGCACUAAGUAAAAGGGUGAACUUUGGACUCUACAAGGCAGGCGUUCAGAGUGUGGCCAACCUGGUCCCCGAUCAUCUCCUGAGCUCUUGUCUAAAUGGGCUGUGAGGAUGGCAGGCGCCAGUUUUUCAGUAGAACGUGAGAAGGUUAUGGGAUUGGAAAGCCCUGCCCAGCAGCUGCUCAGCCUGGUGGAGUUCAAGUCCAGUUUCCUCAGCAGGACUUUCAGAAGCAAAAACAAAGAAUGGACCCCAGUUGGGGUUUCCAGGUCCAAUGCUAAGGAGCAAGAAUGCAUCUGAGAUAUUGGAAGCCAGAUCCGUCAUACUUCCGAUGAGGUUCUUCAGAUAGCCUCCGGUUUUGAACUGUGGAGACAUCCAGCUAAAUGGACUGAGCAACUGCAAGGUUCCCAAUUUCUCCACCAUCCAGACAUCUUAAUAUUUACACCAUACAGACUCAGCCCGAAUUGUGUAAGACAUGCUAAUAAAUCCCUUAUUAACGUA
rnacentral:sRNA from 1 species